rnacentral:rRNA from 1 species
ACGGGGAGCACCACAACAGGUGGAGCCUGCGGUUUAAUCGGACUCAACGCCGGGAAACUCACCAGAUAAGACAGCUGAAUGAUAGUCGGGCUGAAGACUCUACUUGACUAGCUGAGAGGAGGUGCAUGGCCGUCGUCAGUUCGUACUGUGAAGCAUCCUGUUAAGUCAGGCAACGAGCGAGACCCACGCCAACAGUUGCCAGCUCGUCCUCCGGGAUGGAGGGGACACUGUUGGGACCGCUCUGCUAAAGAGGAGGAAGGAAUGGGCAACGGUAGGUCAGCAUGCCCCGAAUUAUCUGGGCUACACGCGGGCUACAAUGGGUGGGACAAUGGGUAUCGACACCGAAAGGUGAAGGCAAUCUCCUAAACCCAUCCUUAGUUCGGAUUGUGGGCUGCAACUCGCCCACAUGAAGCUGGAAUCUGUAGUAAUCGUGUUUCAAAAUAGCACGGUGAAUAUGUCCCUGCUCCUU